rnacentral:piRNA from 1 species
UUUGAGGUGAAUUGUAGUUGA